AUCGCUUCUCGGCCUUUUGGCUAAGAUCAAGUGUAGUAUCAAAUCUCCAGUCCAGCCCUCUCCCUUGAAAUUCAUGUCCAACAGCUU
rnacentral:snRNA from 1 species